rnacentral:misc_RNA from 1 species
GAGAAUGGCGUGUAUCAGGUGGGUAUGAUUGAGACUCUUGCUGUGACACAGGACUUCCAUUGGGUGAAAAACUAAUGGUUGAUGGAGAGUUGUAAACAGUAUAACUGCCAUUUGCUGAAGAUGACUCAAGGGUGCAGUAUUGUUCACGGGAAUUCAGAAUGAAUAAAUUGGAUCCUUGGCUGCUGCCACUGUAGCAUAGCUGGUGGUCCAAACUUUGGAGCUGAGGCAUGCAGUAGGCGUCAACUUCCUGCAUCGGUUGAUAGUACAAUCUGGUAGACAUGCCUCUACUUCUGAGUUGUGAUGCUUGCAUUGAACACUUAAUCAGUUUAC